rnacentral:rRNA from 1 species
UACGUAGGGUGCAAGCGUUGUCCGGAAUUAUUGGGCGUCAAGAGCUCGUAGGCGGUCUGUCGCGUCUGCUGUGAAAACUCAGGGCUUAACCCUGGGCCUGCAGUGGGUACGGGCAAACUAGAGUGCGGUAGGGGAGAUCGGAAUUCCUGGUGUAGCGGUGAAAUGCGCAGAUAUCAGGAGGAACACCGGUGGCGAAGGCGGAUCUCUGGGCCGUAACUGACGCUGAGGAGCGAAAGCAUGGGUAGCGAACAGG